rnacentral:rRNA from 1 species
CCUACGGGGGGCUGCAGUGGGGAAUAUUGGACAAUGGGGGGAACCCUGAUCCAGCCAUGCCGCGUGUGUGAAGAAGGCCCUCGGGUUGUAAAGCACUUUCAGUGAGGAAGAACGCCUGGUGGUUAAUACCCAUCAGGAAAGACAUCACUCACAGAAGAAGCACCGGCUAACUCCGUGCCAGCAGCCGCGGUAAUACGGAGGGUGCGAGCGUUAAUCGGAAUUACUGGGCGUAAAGCGCGCGUAGGUGGCUUGAUAAGCCGGUUGUGAAAGCCCCGGGCUCAACCUGGGAACGGCAUCCGGAACUGUCAAGCUAGAGUGCAGGAGAGGAAGGUAGAAUUCCCGGUGUAGCGGUGAAAUGCGUAGAGAUCUGGAGGAAUACCAGUGGCGAAGGCGGCCUCCUGGACUGACACUGACACUGAGGUGCGAAAGCGUGGGUAGCAAACAGGAUUAGAUACCCUUGUAGUC